UUUUUAUUUAAAUUUAAAAUAAUUCAAAAUAUAUCAUUUCUUUUAUUAGGAAUAUAAAAAUUUUAAAACUUUCAACAACGGAUCUCUUGGUUCUCGCAUCGAUGAAGAACGUAGCGAAUUGCGAUAAGUAAUGUGAAUUGCAGAUUUUCGUGAAUCAUUGAAUUUUUGAACGCACAUUGCGCCCUUUGGUAUUCCAAAGGGCAUGCCUGUUUGAGCGUCAUUUCCUUCUCAAAAGAAAACUUUUUUUUUUCUUUUGGUUGUGAGUGAUACUCUUUCCUUUUACAGGGAAGGGGUUAACUUGAAAUUGUUGCCUAGCAAAGAAGAAUUUUGAUUGAAAUUUCUUGUUUAUUACUAUUAGGUUUAUCCCAACUAGUGAUUAUUGAGAGUUUUUAUUACAGAGUCUUUUCACUUGCUAUAAUACUAUUCUAUAAGUUGACCUCAAAUCA
rnacentral:misc_RNA from 1 species